rnacentral:lncRNA from 1 species
AUGGCCCAUGCCUUCUUGUGUCCGAACCAAUCAGCUAAAGCAGUGGCCCUUCAGCUAUGGAACAACAUCUUCUGUGUGUAUGGUUUUCCUCGUUGUAUCCACUCUGACCAAGGGGCCAACUUUGAAAGUAAAUUGAUUGCUGAGUUGUUGAGUGCUGCAGGAGUCCAGAAGUCGCACACAACUCCCUACCAUCCGAUGGGGAACGGGGGAGUCGAAAGGUUCAAUAGAACGCUGGGAAACAUGAUCAGGGCUUUACCUACAAGAGCGAAGCACAGGUGGCCCCAGAAGCUGAAGUCGUUAACCUUCGCCUACAACUGUAUGGUCCCUGAAACCACGGGCUAUGCCCCUUUCCAGCUGAUGUUUGGGAGAACCCCGCGUUUGCCUGUCGACAUGAUGUUUGGUACUGUGCUGCAAGACUCAGAGGUUGUAGACUAUGACGAGUACAUAAAGUCCCUGACGAGAGACCUCAGGGAGGCCAUGGAGACGGUACAGGUGUCAGCAACCAAACAGCUGAAGAGGCAUGCAGGCCUCUACAACAGGAAGAUCAGAGGAGCUCCGGUGGAGGUCGGUGAUCGGGUGCUGCUGGCGAAUAAGGGUGAACGUGGAAAGAGGAAGCUGGCGGAUCGUUGGGAGAACAACCUCUAUAUUGUUACGGAGAAGAAUAGCGACAUCCACAUCUUCAAGAUACAGAACAUGUCGACUGGCCAGGAGAAAACGGUCCACCGUAAUCUGAUAAUGCCUGUAAACGUCUUGCCUCUACCUGACACUGCCUUGGAGACACCUAAUAUGGGAGACCAUGAGGAUCCGAGUGAGGAGAUGGAGGACUCAUCCAUGAACGAUAUACCAGAAAUGGACAUUGGUGAGAGGACUAGUGUGUGGGUAUCAGAACAGACCUCGGGGGAAGGACAGCCGGAGCACUCUGAAAAAGAAACCCCAGAUGUGCUGGAAGAUGGGCCACUGGCGAGGAACCCUCAGACCUCACCACAUUCUGAGGGUGCCGCUGGUGGCACAAGCGUGUCAGAGCUAACCUUUGGAGAAGAAAUGUCCGAACCCUCUGAAGAAGAAAGGCAUUCUGAAGAUGCCGCUGGUAGCACAAGCUCCAGCAACAGUCACAGAACCCUUGACCUUGACUAUCCACCGACUGUGGAAAGUGACCCACCAGUGGUGGUUGUAGGUGAACAGGUUAAACGUAAUAACUCUGUUAGGCCUGUCAGGUCAGGGGCUGAUCGGGUUAAGAAACGCCCAGUGAGACUCAUAGAGACUAUGCAGACACAGAGGGUUUUUCAUACAGAAUUCAUUAGAAUACCUGUGUGGGUGUAG